UUCGAUUGUUGAUCAUGGCUCAGGACGAACGCUGGCGGCGUGCUUAACACAUGCAAGUCGAACGGAAAGGCCCUUCGGGGUGCUCGAGUGGCGAACGGGUGAGUAACACGUGGGUGGUCUGCCCUGCACUUUGGGAUAAGCCUGGGAAACUGGGUCUAAUACCGGAUAGGACCGCAUGCUUCAUGGUGUGUGGUGGAAAGCUUUUGCGGUGUGGGAUGGGCCCGCGGCCUAUCAGCUUGUUGGUGGGGUAAUGGCCUACCAAGGCGACGACGGGUAGCCGGCCUGAGAGGGUGACCGGCCACACUGGGACUGAGAUACGGCCCAGACUCCUACGGGAGGCAGCAGUGGGGAAUAUUGCACAAUGGGCGCAAGCCUGGUGCAGCGACGCCGCGUGAGGGAUGACGGCCUUCGGGUUGUAAACCUCUUUCAGCAGGGACGAAGCGCAAGUGACGGUACCUGCAGAAGAAGGACCGGCCAACUACGUGCCAGCAGCCGCGGUAAUACGUAGGGUCCGAGCGUUGUCCGGAAUUACUGGGCGUAAAGAGCUCGUAGGUGGUUUGUCGCGUUGUUCGUGAAAACUCACAGCUUAACUGUGGGCGUGCGGGCGAUACGGGCAGACUGGAGUACUGCAGGGGAGACUGGAAUUCCUGGUGUAGCGGUGGAAUGCGCAGAUAUCAGGAGGAACACCGGUGGCGAAGGCGGGUCUCUGGGCAGUAACUGACGCUGAGGAGCGAAAGCGUGGGGAGCGAACAGGAUUAGAUACCCUGGUAGUCCACGCCGUAAACGGUGGGUACUAGGUGUGGGUUUCCUUCCUUGGGAUCCGUGCCGUAGCUAACGCAUAAGACCCGCUGGA
rnacentral:rRNA from 1 species